AUUGAACGCUGGCGGCAGGCCUAACACAUGCAAGUCGAGCGAGCGGCGGACGGGUGAGUAAUGUAUGGGGAUCUGCCCGAUAGAGGGGGAUAACUACUGGAAACGGUAGCUAAUACCGCAUACCAUCGGAUGUGCCCAGAUGGGAUUAGCUAGUAGGUGGGGUAAAGGCUCACCAAGGCAACGAUCCGUAGCUGGUUUGAGAGGACGACCAGCCACACUGGGACUGAGACACGGCCCAGACUCCUACGGGAGGCAGCAGUGGGGAAUUUUGGACAAUGGGCGAAACCCUGAUCCAGCCAUCCCGCGUGUAUGAUGAAGGCCUUCGGGUUGUAAAGUACUUUUGGCAGAGAAGCGUUAUCUGCAGAAUAAGCACCGGCUAACUACGUGCCAGCAGCCGCGGUAAUAC
rnacentral:rRNA from 1 species